rnacentral:lncRNA from 1 species
UACUACUGAAAAAUCUGGACUUAAAAUAAGGCGUAUAGGUACGGUUUUCAAAUUUGUUAGCAUGCAUGACGUAAAACAGCGAAUCAUAGAAUUCAAUUUUAUUUAUAACUAAUAAAGGACAAUUCUGUUGAUUAAAAAAUACUCCAUUCCAGGACCUUUUGUCUUCCAAAUAAUUAAUAUUACCAAUAAUUGAUAAGUUCAAGGUCAAUGUGUUCAAACAGACAAAAGAUUUUGAAAGCAGAGAAAAAUGUGUAUCUUCGUUAAAAUCGGAUGACAAUACCAAUACUAAAAUAAGGCUUACACAUAGUUAUAUACUUUAAUUCAGUCGCGGACCCGCGAUAUCACGGGUAUGUUCUAGU